CAGUCGCCGCGGUAAUACAGAGGGUGCGAGCGUUAAUUGGAUUUACUGGGCGUAAAGCGUGCGUAGGCGGCUUCUUAAGUCGGAUGUGAAAUCCCUGAGCUUAACUUAGGAAUUGCAUUCGAUACUGGGAAGCUAGAGUAUGGGAGAGGAUGGUAGAAUUCCAGGUGUAGCGGUGAAAUGCGUAGAGAUCUGGAGGAAUACCGAUGGCGAAGGCAGCCAUCUGGCCUAAUACUGACGCUGAGGUACGAAAGCAUGGGGAGCAAACAGGAUUAGAUACCCCUGUAGUCCCUGUCUCUUAUAC
rnacentral:rRNA from 1 species